rnacentral:lncRNA from 1 species
GUCUCUGAAAGGCUGUGGGUCUCCAUCUAAUGUGUUUGUGUAUUCAUGAGUCCCUUCUGCCUGUGUGUGGCUUGGUGUCCAUGGAGGGACACCUGCUUUCCCAGCUUCCCAAAGAGCACUGGGUAGGACAGGACUCUGGAAUGCACAUCGCCCCCUGGUGACCGGAGGAGGAAACUGCAAGCCCGCCACAUGGAAAAGCGAAAAGAAGGGCACAGAAACUGCCACAUCAGGACAAUGACGGCUCCUCUGGACAUGAACUGUCAGGCAGAUCAAGGAAAAUUACAGGAAAUGCGCGGAGAGCGGUGGAGAGAAAGCAAGCAUCAGACAAAACUCAGCUUGCUCACAACUUCUAUAGAGAAAAUUCCCACAAGGCAGAAAAUGACCCAGGAAUAG